rnacentral:rRNA from 1 species
GACGAACGCUGGCGGCGUGCCUAACACAUGCAAGUCGAGCGAAAAGACCAGGACUUUGCUCCUCUGACGUUAGCGGCGGACGGGUGAGUAGCACGUGGAUAACCUACCUCUCAGACUGGGAUACCUUCGGGAAACCGGCUCUUAUACCGGAUAAUAUAUCGAACCGGAUGGUUCAAUAGUUUAAGACGGUUUUGCUGUGACUUAUAGCUGUCACCGCGCCGCAUUAGUUAGUUGGUAAGGUAACGGCUUACCAAGGCAGGGAUGCGUAGCCGACCGGAGAGGGUGGUCGCCCACAUGGGAGGAGAGACGGGGUCCAGACUCCUGCGGGAGGCCGCAGUAGGGAAUCUUCCGCAAUGGUGGAGAGCCUGACAGAGCAACGCGGCGUGAGUGAUGAAGGUGUUCGGAUGGGAAAGCUCUGUUAUUGGGGGAGAACUAAUGUGUAAGUAACCGUGCACGUCUUGACGGUACCUGGAGAAAAAGCCACGGCUAACUACGUG